ACCCCUCUGGUGUAUCGGUAACAUAGCGGAUUCUCAGGCCUCUGAAUCUCCGUUGCGCAGGGUUCGACUCCCUGGGGGGGUG